GGGGAUAUAGCUCAGUUGGUAGAGUGCCUGUGUCCCAUACACAAGGUCUUGGGUUCAAUCCCCAGUACCA
rnacentral:tRNA from 1 species